AAAGUCGUAACAAGGUCUCCGUAGGUGAACCUGCGGAGGGAUCAUUAACACGUUUUAAAACACGUUUUAACUAACCAACCAACCACGUGAACUAUUUAACACUCCUGGAAGAGAAAGAAUUCUGUCUCCUCUCACUAAUGAUGAGUCUCGCUUCAUUGCGAGACAGUGAGUUUAGACUAGCAUUGCAGUUAAGAGCUGACUUGUAAAGACCUUUCACUUUUGGGCUAAAUGCUCCUAUCAUCAUUCGAGCGCAAACAACCCCUUUCACCACUUCUAUAACUAUUGACUGAUCUUUUUCUUUGCAACAUAAGAAAAAACUAAUCAAAUAUCUAAGCACAACUCUUAGCAACGGAUAUCUUGGUUCUC
rnacentral:misc_RNA from 1 species